rnacentral:lncRNA from 1 species
CACAGGAGUCCAUCCCUAUAGCAACCACAGCUGCACCGGGCAACCAGCGCUCUACUGAUUUCCAAAUAGCACGUGAGGCCACUGGAGUCUGCAAAACCUUCCUUCCACCGACUGAGUUCCCUGCUGAUGCUAUUUGGAUAAUGUCUAAUUUGCCCUGCGUUUCAGAGAAGAUGGCUAUCUUGCAUAUAACUUAAGAGAAUCCCCCCCAGCUAAAAAUAGAAUUAUCUUAGGAAACACAUUUUUUCUAGGUGUUUUCUCCCUUAAGUCACAUAUUCUAGGGAAGCACUGUUUUUCUGGGAAAUGUUUCCUCCCCGGAGAAUUGUAUCUGCCCCCCUCAUGCACAUUCGUCAUGCCGCCAGCUGUUCUCUGUUGUCGUCACUUGCAGACUGCAGGCUGGGCCCACUCAGGAGUGACUCUCGCCAGGGUGAGAGGUGUGUCUUCACUGCGGAGCUGCGCCAACACCUUUCUGCUUUACAACAUCCUUUGCUUACACAAGCCAUCAGGGCGUUCCUGCCAUUCCACCUACCUACCUGGAAACCCAGGUUCCUGUUUCUAAGGAUGAGAUCAGGAAGACAACAGAUUUCUGACUUCUUUUGGAGAAUUAAAAAAUCUGGGACUAGAAGGCUAUUUCCACUUAGCAACUUUCAGAUGGAUCUGACACAGUAACCCACAAAAUGAAUAUGGCCAAACACAGAAGACCAUCUCAUGGCCUGAGGAUCAUGGAGGCGCUCUGUUACUCCCUUCCAGAGAACCUACUGUAGGAAGCAUCACUGACUGAUGGCUUCCCAUGGACACAUCUUUGGAUUCACCACAAUGCUUAUGCCAAGCCUCACUUCUCUCAAGCUACUCUCUGCCAGUAACUAAGCACAACAGGGUACUGGAAUCUAGUCAUCCUUCCCAAUGUGGGAUUUUUCCAAGUGGCAACAUUGCCUUGGAUACUCCCCAUCAGCCUGGCCAAAAUUUUCUGCACUUUGAAACUCUGCCUACUCCAUUGAUCCUUCUCUCCUUCCACGAGUAUUAGAUCUGCAACAUGAUCUGAGGACCCUUCUUACCUGCUCCUGAUUCCCAACCCCUUUUCCUUUACGUGGCCCUCAAGGAUCCCCCUACUCCUGGUAUCCACACCCUUGCAUAGACAUCUCCAAGAUUAGGUUAUAAAAGAGGGGGUCUUCUGUUUUGGGUGCACUUUCUUGCUUGCUUUUGUAAUAUUUCUCUCUGUCUGUCUCUGAUUGCUUGCUCACUCUGAGGAGAACAAAUGCCAUGCUGUGAGCAACCUGUAGAAAGGCCUACAUAAUAAGGAAAUAAAGUUUAUCAGCAAUGUUGGUGAGAGACUGAG